UUGGCGGACGGGUGAGUAACGCGUGGGUAACCUGCCUUACACAGGGGGAUAACACUUAGAAAUAGGUGCUAAGACCGCAUAAGCGCACAGCUUCGCAUGAAGCGGUGUGAAAAACUCCGGUGGUGUAAGAUGGACCCGCGUCUGAUUAGCUUGUUGGCGGGGUAACGGCCCACCAAGGCGACGAUCAGUAGCCGGCCUGAGAGGGCGGACGGCCACAUUGGGACUGAGACACGGCCCAGACUCCUACGGAAGGCAGCAG
rnacentral:rRNA from 1 species